AGUCUGUGUUCCAGAUUUUGAAGUAAAGGGUGUUUCGUUUGGAGUUGACGUUUAAACGUGCUUGGGACCAUGGCGGUGAAAGUAAAUCCAAACAAAAGAUAUCCUUUGCUGUAUUGCCUUGAGCUGACCGUUUGUAUUUCUUUUUCCCACUACUCAUAGGCUCUUCAUCUGGGUUGGAAUUCUGUCCAGGACCCAGUCCAAAGUCUGCAUUUUUCCUUUUUAAAUAUUUAUCCAUUGCUGAGCGUCUUAUCGCCACAACCUCUCUUAACUCUAUUGUCUUAAAUUAACAAGGUCAUUAUUGCGCUACCUAUUGCCACUCAUUGGCAUGGAAGAUUAUUUAAUUAUUUAGCCAGCCCCUACAUUGCAGAUGCUCAAAAGUGGCACAUUAUUUGCAGCAAGUACAUAUUUAUUUUCCGAUUAAGUGAAAUCGGACAAUUUCCCACGGCACACCUGAUGUCUCUCGUGGCAAAUCACUGCUCUAAAUCACUGCUCUAAAUCACUGCUCUAAAUCACUGCUCUAAAUCACUGCUUAGACACAAUGGGAAUCUGGCCAUUUGUGCAAUCUUUAUAUGCUUUUUGGAAAAGUUCUUAAUUAUUUUGCAGAUAUUCAGCAAAGACUGCCACUUGUUGACAUGACAGGUCAAGGUUAAGUUGGUAUCUUAAAAUGCAUCGUCUUGGUGAGUGUUUCCAUUUCUUACAGCCCCAUAUGUUUUUAGAGGUUUUCCGUGAUGGCACUUGUAACAACAAUCCUCACUAGAAUCUUGAACAGACUCAUGAUGAAUGCUGUGCACUCGGGAGGAUGAAGGCCUGAAUAAGAAUAGGACGAAAAGGAAAAUCCUGAUAUAUAUUCGUGCUGAUGAAGGCCUGAGUAAAAGCAAAGAGAUAAGGAAGGCUUACAAAGAGGAGAAACCUAAUUGUGGAGGAGAGAGAGGGUUGCAGGAUUGAGCUCCUCUGUGAGAUGGUUAAUUUAUAAGACCGGUGGCGGGGAUAACGUGACAGGCCGAGUAAUGGUAAGGAAUAGUUUGAGAGAUUCCUUUGUCUCUCAGGUCAGGCAUCCUUUCACUCAAUUCCCUCUUCUAUCUUCUUUUUCCUCACUCUGUUUUGUUCUAGUCUCUCUUCCUUAGUGGACACUCUUGUUCCCAUUGCAGAAGUAAUCAAUCUUAAUCAUGCCAUGAAUGAAAUAUUUGCCUUUGCUCAGCCAGGAAGAAGCAUCUAAGUGUUGUCCUUUUUACACUAAAGCCUCAGAGGUCAUGUUUUAGACAAUUAUUUCACAUUGUGAUUAUAUUGUAUGUGUUUUUUUAUUUUUAACCUCAAUUUUUGGGGAUAAAUCCGGCAACAAAUUCUCUGUGUCUUUUUGUCGGGCCAUCUCACCUGCUCUGUCUUUUUCGUUUGUCCUCGCUAUUUAUUUCUAUCUGCACCUCAUUGCUGAUGCAGGGAGCAUAGCUGCAGCCAUAGACCUUUGCGCGGAAACACCCAGCAGACAAGAAAAAUGACGGCCAGCGCAAUCUCAUUUUCUGAGGGGCUGCAAGUCAGGCAGGAAAUGGCUAUUAUUCCAUCGACACUGUCGGUAUUAAGUUAUUUCCUUCUCUAAAUACGAGAAUGUUCAUGAAUAUCUAUUGAGUUCCUGGUGCGAGCGCAGGAGGUUUUGUCACCACACACUCGGAUGAUUGCAGCCCUAUAUUCUGCCCGGUGCGCCCUCACUUCUGAGAUUGAAGUGAAAGACAAUGGUAGUGGAAAUUGGCUAAUAAAUCCAGAGGAGGCAAAGGGCUGUUUGAGCAAUACUGCCAGCUCUUUUUAAGACGAAUAAAACCCCCUGGCUUUCCUCAACCUUAUGUUUUUCUAAAAGGAGGUGACCGGGCUAAAUGGCUAAAUCUCCAUCGCAAGGCCCAGGUGAUGUAGCUAACAGCUUAUGUUGGAAGGAAUACAAUUUCGCAGUGUGGUCAAAGCGAUGUUAUCUAGAAGUACAAAGCAUCUAUAUUUCACGGGAAUGAGAUUAUACAUUCCUGCAGAUAACGGUGAGACAGAGAGCACAGCGGGGGGGAAGAAGAAGCUCAUGACAGAACUAAGGGCCAUUUGCAUUUGUUCAGCAUGUGCUUCUCUCGGUCUGCCGGUGGCUGUGUGCUUUGUUUAUCAUGAAUCAGGUAGCUGCCAGUCACGAGCGGAGCAGAGAGGUGAAAGCUGGAGGAGGACGGCACGAAAAAGAGACCAGGAGAGGAAGAACGCUAAAGGAUGAUGACCAGCAGCCAAUGUAGGAUCUGAGUGACCAGUCACCUUCCACUGCACAGCGACACAGAAAGCAGCCAGCAUGAAAAGAAAAAGUCCGAGCUUCUGAAACUCUGCUCACAUGUGUCCGGUCGGAGGCAGUCCAUCGUGGAGAGGAGACGGGGGCAGAAUUGAUUGAAGGUGGUGGACCAUAAAUGAAGUUUCAUCACCUCUGCAUCACAGCACAGACCUGCUGUUCCUUCUGGGGCUUCAUGCCGGCCCCUCAGCUUCAGCAACAACAUCACAGGUCGCUCUGCACGGGCUCCAGCAGGAAGUGAGAUCAUCAUGGCUGUGAAACAGUCUCGUUUACAAAGGCUUCGGGUUCCUGCUUCCCGCUUCCCUGGACACUGCCUUCGCCUCCACCUAAGGAGCAGUCAACCAUGGCCUACGUUCCCUGCCUCAUUUGCCGAAUAUAGUUUCUGCUCUGUCCAAGUGGUGGCAGGUGGGGGUGGAUGAGUUGUCAGGUCCAGCUAUGCUCUGAGAGGAAGGAGCGUACAGAGGGAAAUACUAUCACGGGGAGCAAAUGCGCUCAAAAGAAUGGACGUCUUUCGGAGUCCUAUAUUACAUUUGCAAAGGGGCUGAGAACAACCUCCGUACUCUUUUGUGAUCACCAGUGAAACACACACACACCACUGGAUUGAAGAUUGUGAUUAUAUAUUUCCUGGAGAAACCUGGGGAAAAUAUGAUAUUUGUCAAGUUGUAUUUAUAAUGAGAACUCAAACAUCUUUCCAAAAAGACACCUACCCUUACACAACUAAAAUAACACAACAUUGAAAUAAAAGUUAAUAAAAUACCUUUUCAUAAUAAGAAAGAAAUCUGAUAACAUGAAUAAUGUAUUGACUGUUGAGAAGACUCUUUGUUAAAAGGAUAGUUGUUUGACCCAGUAAAAACUUUGCACAAAACGUAAUAUUGUUUAGACACCGUACCACCAAAGUACCAUCAAAACAUGAAAAAGUGACACCUUGCCCUGCCCUUCUGAGCAGCUGGCCUUGCACAUGGGCAAGGGAGCGUGGCAUGAGGAAUGACAUGUGUAAUGGGAA